ncrna:Myxococcus hansupus L17-Actino-Proteobacteria ribosomal protein leader
GGCGGGCCCCGUGCCGGGUCCGCCCAUCCCACCCGGUACCUGAUACGGCCGGAGUGU